CAAGUGCACUCAACCACACGGCUUCACCGCCGUGUGGCUUGGAGGUUGGGGGCUGCUGGCGUCACCGUCGGCUCUCCUGAAAGACAUCAGCGAAGGACUCGGCGUCCUCUCGGCGUGAUAACGAUCGUCGUCGGCGCCCAUGUGUCGCUUCGCUUCGCUUCGAACGUCCCGCGUUGGAUGACUGACG
rnacentral:misc_RNA from 1 species